AGAGUUGUAUCCUGGCUCAGGAUGAACGCUAGCUGGAGGCUUAAUACAUGCAAGUCGAGCGGGAUUGGUAGCAAUACCAUGAGAGCGGCGCACGGGUGAGUAGCGCGUACACGACCUACCUCUGACAGGGGGAUAGCCCUGGGAAACUGGGAUUAAUACCGCAUAUUAUUCUGAUUAAUAAAGGAUUGGAAUGAAAGUUCAGGCGGUCAGAGAUGGGUGUGCGACUGAUUAGCUAGUUGGUAGGGUAACGGCCUACCAAGGCGAUGAUCAGUAGGGGGCGUGAGAGCGUGAUCCCCCACACGGGUACUGAGACACGGACCCGACUCCUACGGGAGGCAGCAGUAAGGAAUAUUGGACAAUGGCCGCAAGGCUGAUCCAGCCAUCCAGCGUGCAGGAAGAAGGCCCUAUGGGUUGUAAACUGCUUUUAUCAGGGAAUAAACCUCUGGAUUCACUCCGGAGCUGAAGGUACCUGAAGAAUAAGCACCGGCUAACUCCGUGCCAGCAGCCGCGGUAAUACGGAGGGUGCGAGCGUUAUCCGGAAUUACUGGGUUUAAAGGGUGCGUAGGCGGCUUUGUAAGUCAGGAGUGAAAGUUUGCGGCUCAACCGUAAAAUUGCUUCUGAUACUGCAUGGCUAGAAUUAGGAUGAGGUCAGCGGAAUGUGGCAUGUAGCGGUGAAAUGCAUAGAUAUGCCAUAGAACACCAAUUGCGAAGGCAGCUGGCUAGACCUGGAUUGACGCUGAGGCACGAAAGCGUGGGGAGC
rnacentral:rRNA from 1 species